CGUAGUUGGAUCAACGGAUUUUGAGAAUGGUCUGCCGAUGGGCUGUACUGUUCUCCUGUCCUAUUUUCUCUAGUUCGCUCUAGGUGCUCUUCACUGAGUGUCUAGAGUGGCUGGAACUUUUACUUUGAAAAAAUUAGAGUGCUCAAAGCAGGCGUCUCAACCCUGAAUAGUGGUGCAUGGAAUAAUGGAAUAGGACCUCAGUUCUAUUUUGUUGGUUUUCGGAACAUGAGGUAAUGAUUAAGAGGGACAGACGGGGGCAUCCCGUAUUGCGACGUUAGAGGUGAAAUUCUUGGAUCGUCGCAAGACGAACUACUGCGAAAGCAUUUGCCAAGAAUGUUUUCAUUAAUCAAGGACGAUAGUUAGAGGUUCGAAGGCGAUCAGAUACCGCCCUAGUUCUAACCGUAAACGAUGUCAACCAGCGAUCCGCAGGAGUUAUUCAUGACUCUGCGGGCAGCUUCCGGGAAACCAAAGUUUUUGGAUUCCGGGGGGAGUAUGGUUGCAAAGCUGAAACUUAAAGGAAUUGACGGAAGGGCACCACCAAGGAGUGGAGCCUGCGGCUUAAUUUGACUCAACGCGGGGAAACUCACCCGGCCCGGACACCGUAAGGAUUGACAGAUUGAGAGCUCUUUCUUGAUUCGGUGGGUGGUGGUGCAUGGCCGUUCUUAGUUGGUGGAGCGAUUUGUCUGGUUAAUUCCGAUAACGAACGAGACUCUAGCCUACUAAAUAGAAGGCAAAUUAUUCGUUUGCUGUACUUCUUAGAGGGACUACGCGGGCGUCUAGCCUCACGAGAUUGAGCAAU
rnacentral:rRNA from 1 species